GGCUUGUUAGCUCAGUUGGUAGAGCACUGCACCAGUAUCGCAGAGGUCAUGGGUUCAAAUCCCAUACAGGCCU
rnacentral:tRNA from 1 species